rnacentral:hammerhead_ribozyme from 1 species
AUCCAGCUGACGAGUCCCAAAUAGGACGAAACAAGCGUCCUCGAU